GGGGCCGUGGUCCAGCUCUGGUAGGAUGGGGUUGCGCACCCGCCGAAUCCCGGGUUCAAAUCCCGGCGGCCCCACCA
rnacentral:tRNA from 1 species